rnacentral:rRNA from 1 species
GACGUAGGGCGCGAGCGUUGUCCGGAUUUAUUGGGCGUAAAGAGCUCGUAGGCGGCUUGUCGCGUCGUCCGUGAAAACCUGCAGCUCAACUGCAGGCUUGCGGUCGAUACGGGCAGGCUAGAGUUCGGUAGGGGAGACUGGAAUUCCUGGUGUAGCGGUGAAAUGCGCAGAUAUCAGGAGGAACACCGGUGGCGAAGGCGGGUCUCUGGACAGUUCCUGACGCUGAGGCACGAAGGCCAGGGGAGCAAACGGG